CAGAGGGUGCAAGCGUUGUUCGGAAUUACUGGGCGUAAAGCGCGUGUAGGCGGCUUUUCAAGUCUCGUGUGAAAGCCCUGGGCUCAACCCAGGAAGUGCGCGAGAUACUGACGAGCUGGAGUAGCGGAGAGGAUGGCGGAAUACCCGGUGUAGAGGUGAAAUUCGUAGAUAUCGGGUGGAACACCUGUGGCGAAGGCGGCCAUCUGGACGUUCACUGACGCUGAGACGCGAAAGCGUGGGUAGCAAACAGGAUUAGAUACCCUGGUAGUCCACGCUGUAAACGAUGGAUGCUGGAUGUCACGGGUAUUGACCCCUGUGGUGUCGACGCUAACGCAUUAAGCAUCCCGCCUGGGGAGUACGGCCGCAAGGUUA
rnacentral:rRNA from 1 species